AAAUGUCACUUCCAGACCUCAUGUCUCCACAACCCUCCCAAACCUCUCUGCAACAUUAUAUAACAUCUCUACAACAUUUCUGGCAUCUGGAGAUAUCAGUGGUCACUCUUCAUCAAGAGCAGAUUAUCCUCCCUCAGAUUACUCUCCUGGUGCAGGACAGAGGCAGAGUGCUGGUCUGAUGGUGUGGACCAGUGUUGGUCUGGUAGUCAUGGUGACAGUGUUAGGACUGGUCCUGCUCCUGUUCUCCAGACAGAGGAGAGGAACCAGGAGAACACCACCACCACCACCAGUCUCCUCCAACACACAACCUGACCCUACUGG